rnacentral:rRNA from 1 species
GUAGGGUGCAAGCGUUAAUCGGAAUUACUGGGCGUAAAGCGUGCGCAGGCGGUUUUGUAAGUCUGUCGUGAAAGCCCCGGGCUCAACCUGGGAAUUGCGAUGGAGACUGCAAGGCUUGAAUCUGGCAGAGGGGGGUAGAAUUCCACGUGUAGCAGUGAAAUGCGUAGAGAUGUGGAGGAACACCGAUGGCGAAGGCAGCCCCCUGGGUCAAGAUUGACGCUCAUGCACGAAAGCGUGGGGGGAGCAAACAGGAUUAGAUACCCUGGUAGUCCACGCCCCUAAACCGAUGUCUACUAGUUGUCGGGUUUUAAUUAACCUUGGUAACGCAGCUAACGCGUGAAGUAGACCGCCUGGGGAGUACGGUCGCAAGAUUA